GAUGCACUACUACUGGUACCUCACCAAUGAUGGUAUUGAGUUCCUGCGAACUUACCUCAAUUUACCAUCUGAAAUUGUGCCUGCUACGUUGAAGAAGCAAAACAAGCCUGGUGGCAGGCCCAUGGGAGGCCCACCCGGUGAUCGUCCACGUGGUCCAUCUCGCUUUGAUGGAGAGAGGAGAUUUGGUGGUGAUCGGGAUGGAUACCGUGGAGGACCCCGUGGACCUGGUGGUGAUUUUGGUGACAAGGGUGGAGCUCCUGCUGAUUAUCGACCUACCUAUGGGGGCAGCAGUGGAAGACCUGGCUUUGGCCGUGGUGCAGGUGGUUUUGGUGCAGGGCCUGCUAGCUCAAAUCUCCCUUGAGAUAAUGCUCUCAAGAUUUAAGCUUUUGACAUUUUCAAUUCCGGGCCGGAGUCAAUAUGCUUUGCUGCAAAAAGUUAAUACUAGCGGUUGAUAGAUAUAGUUUAAUGUGGUAGAUUGCUGUUUGGAAUCAUUUCAAAUUUUGCCAUCUUUGCUUUUGCUGAAUUGAAUUUUGGAAGAACUACUGUCGCUUAUUCUAAUGUUCUAUUUUUCGGUUUGUGCAUCUUUAUAAAUUAGAAUACUUGCUACUAGGAUGUAAUACUCUCCAUCUACGAAUGUACAAGACUACAAAUAUAUAGUCUUAGUGGGACGAAUUCUU
rnacentral:misc_RNA from 1 species